UGUUAUAAAUUACCAAGUGUGCAAUAUAACUCUUUGAUGUUCAUACUUAAAGUUAAUAUUGCAAUAUAAGAAUGUUACAUUGCACCAGUGUGAGGAUCUCUUGUCUUGGCGAGUCGUAUAGAACGGGUUGUCAGCAUUACGAAGGAAUAUAAAUUCAUCAUGAAGUUGAAAUACUGUCUGUUGAUCGUUCUGUUGGUUAUACAAACGACCAUGAUGGAUACAGCUCCAGUACCGGAUGGGGAUACAUCAGAUACUAAAGUGACGUCACCGCCUAAAAUAUUCCAUAAACUACUACCAAGCGGUGAUAACUUCAGGCACAUGUGUUGUGGCAGUGGUGGAAUGGGGAGAAAGUGACAAUAAAACAUCUUAAAAAUAAAAUAAAGCCAUUUUUUAAAUAUAGAA